GGGUCGUGGAGGAGGGCCUCGGCCAGCCCGACCCGCUGGCGAUAGCCCCGGGAGAGAUGGCCGAUGAUCCGGUCCUCGACGUCCCCC
rnacentral:tRNA from 1 species